GCAGCUCCCGCAAACCCAUGGUUCCCUGGAGCCACAGCCUCCAGUGCUCUCAGCCUCUGAGAGUCAAGGCUUUCGUUGGCGCAGCUGCAGCCGGUGGCAAUGGCUACAAACCUCCUCCCCUCGUCUCCCUAAGGCGGAGCCCAGGCCACCCGGGCCGAAGCGCCCACGGAUCGCGAGUGAGCAGAAACGCCCAGACAGACGCCGCGGGACAGGGACCUACAAGAGUCCCAGGGGUUUCCGGCAAGCUGGAGAGGAGAGUGAUCCGGGGGAGCAAACUUGGCGCCGGCAACUCAGAGAGAUGUGUGGUUUCCAAAACAAUUUACCUCUACUGGAACAAGGAAAUAAACAAAGAAAAAAGGAUGAUAUGGAAUCCAGGAAACCGAAGACGUAACACAGGCCAGAGAUGAAGGGAUGGUGGAAAGAAAUUCCAGAGCAACAUCUGUACAGCAGACAUGGAGAACCACCAGGCCAGACUGGAGCCAGAGGACAGAGAAAUCUGGGAGAGUUGUCCCCAGGAGGGCAGACAUGCAGCAAUAACAUUGAUGAAUUUCCUCAUACACUUGGUCUUGUGAAAAAUUGUACCAUUAGAGACAGAGAGAUUUAGCAGUAGAUAGACACUGAGCAAAUGAAAACAAAAAAGACACAGUUAGGUACAGGAAAAAUUAAAACAUUGAACAUACAUUGUAUACUCCUGGUUUAUCAGAUAACAAAAUGUAUACAGUAUACAAAGUAAUAAAGUAAAUGUUAUUAUAAAAACAAAUUUAAUCCAAAGUUAGUGAUUUUGGUGGCUGGCAACAGGAGGGAGGAGAUUUUAGAGGUAAGUAAUCAGGUAUCAUAAUAGAAAAUUAAUCAUUAGAGCCGAGGGUGGAUUUUCAGUGACAGAGCAUUUACUUGAUUGACUUGUUCCAGGCCUGGGUUUGAUUCCCAGAACCACAAAAAGAAAAAACGGGGGGGGGGAGGGGUGCAGUGGGGGGGCAGUCAUUCAUUACUAUCUCAAGAGAGAGGACUAUAAACAUGAAAAUAUAUUCCAAAACAAAACAAACAAAUAAGAGCUGUAUUUGAAGCCAUGAAGUAGUGGCACACGCCCAUAAUCCUAGCACUCAGGAGGCAGAGACAGGCCGAUCUCUGUGAGUUCAAGGACAGCCUGGUCUACAGAGUGAGUUCCAGGACAGCCAGGACUGUUUCACAGAGAAACCCUGUCUCAAAGCAACAACAAAAAUAACAACAAAAGAACUGUAUUUGUAGAACUGCACUGGAGUUGUUACUUGUAGUACUAAAUGCAGAGUUUUUCAGAGCAGUGCAAGAUACCAAUUGUGAGUUUAUGAUUGCUGUUUGACUUAUGACAUUAUGUGCUCAUUUCAAUUGAACAAAAGCUUAAAUUAAAGGACUAGAGAUGUAGUUAGGUGGUACAGUGCUUGACUAGGGUGUGCAAGGCCCUGGGUUCAAUCCCCAAUAUCAAUAAAAUAAACAUUAAAGUGUGCCUUCAGAUUAAAAUGGUGUGAUUUUCUUUUUUAUUUGAUUUUUAUGUGUAUGAGUAUUUUUGCCUGCAUGUAUGUAUGGAUAACACUUGCAUGUCUGGUGGCCAAAAAGGUUAAAAUAGGAUAUCAGAUACCCUGGAACUGGAGUUACAGACAUUGUGAGCCACCAUGUGGGUGCUGGGAACUGAACGCAGGUCCUCUCCAAGACUGGAGUGCUCUUAAUUGCUGAGCCAUCUCUAC
ensembl:lincRNA